rnacentral:rRNA from 1 species
UACGGGGGGGUAAGCGUUGUUCGGAAUUACUGGGCGUAAAGGGCUCGUAGGCGGCCAACUAAGUCAUACGUGAAAUCCCUCAGCUUAACUGGGGAACUGCGUGUGAUACUGGAUGGCUUGGAUUUGGGAGAGGGAUGCGGAAUUCCAGGUGUAGCGGUGAAAUGCGUAGAUAUCUGGAGGAACACCGGUGGCGAAGGCGGCAUCCUGGACCGGCAUUGACGCUGAGGCGCGAAAGCCAGGGGAGCAAACGGG